ACGGGCAGACUAGAGUGCGGUAGGGGAGACUGGAAUUCCUGGUGUAGCGGUGGAAUGCGCAGAUAUCAGGAGGAACACCGGUGGCGAAGGCGGGUCUCUGGGCCGUUACUGACGCUGAGGAGCGAAAGCAUGGGGAGCGAACAGGAUUAGAUACCCUGGUAGUCCAUGCCGUAAACGUUGGGCACUAGGUGUGGGGUCCAUUCCACGGGUUCCGCGCCGCAGCUAACGCAUUAAGUGCCCCGCCUGGGGAGUACGGCCGCAAGGCUAAAACUCAAAGGAAUUGACGGGGGCCCGCACAAGCGGCGGAGCAUGCGGAUUAAUUCGAUGCAACGCGAAGAACCUUACCAAGGCUUGACAUACACCGGAAACAUCCAGAGAUGGGUGCCCCGCAAGGUCGGUGUACAGGUGGUGCAUGGUUGUCGUCAGCUCGUGUCGUGAGAUGUUGGGUUAAGUCCCGCAACGAGCGCAACCCUUGUCCUGUGUUGCCAGCGGAUAAUGCCGGGGACUCGCGGGAGACUGCCGGGGUCAACUCGGAGGAAGGUGGGGAUGACGUCAAAUCAUCAUGCCCCUUAUGUCUUGGGCUUCACGCAUGCUACAAUGGCCGGUACAAAGGGUGGCGAUGCCGUAAGGUGGAGCGAAUCCCAAAAAGCCGGUCUCAGUUCGGAUUGGGGUCUGCAACUCGACCCCAUGAAGUCGGAGUCGCUAGUAAUCGCAGAUCAGCAACGCUGCGGUGAAUACGUUCUCGGGCCUUGUACACACCGCCCGUCACGUCACGAAAGUCGGUAACACCCGAAGCC
rnacentral:rRNA from 1 species